AUACGGAGGGUGCAAGCGUUACUCGGAAUCACUGGGCGUAAAGCGCGCGCAGGCGGCUAUUUAAGUUGGAUGUGAAAGCCUACGGCUCAACCGUAGAACUGCAUCCAAAACUAUUUAGCUAGAGUGUGGGAGAGGAAGAUGGAAUUAGUUGUGUAGGGGUAAAAUCCGUAGAGAUAACUAGGAAUACCGAAAGCGAAGGCAAUCUUCUGGAACACUACUGACGCUGAGGCGCGAAAGCGUGGGGAGCAAACAGGAUUAGAAACCCUAGUAGUCC
rnacentral:rRNA from 1 species